rnacentral:rRNA from 1 species
GAUGAACGCUGGCGGCGUGCCUAAUACAUGCAAGUCGAGCGAACAGAUAAGGAGCUUGCCUCGUUGACGUUAGCGGCGGGUGGGGGAGUAACACGUGGGUAACCUAUCUAUAAGCCUGGCAUACAUCCGGGAAACCUGGGCGAAUGCCGGAUAACAGUUAGAACCGCAUGGUUCUAAAGUGAACGAUGUUUUUGCUUUCACUUAUAGGUGUACCCGGGCCGUAUGAGCUAGUUGGUAAGGUAACGGCUUACCAAGGCAACGAUACGUAGCCGACCUGAGAGGGUGAUCAGCCACACUGGAACUGAGACACGGUCCAGACUCCUACGGGAGGCAGCAGUAGGGAAUCUUCCACAAUGGGCGAAAGCCUGACGGAGCAACGCCGCGUGAGUGAUGAAGGUCUUCGGAUCGUAAAACUCUGUUAUUAGGGAAGAACAAAUGUGUAAGUAUCUCUGCACGUCUUGACGGUACCUAAUCAGAAAGCCACGGCUAACUACGUG